rnacentral:rRNA from 1 species
UACGAAGGGGGCUAGCGUUGCUCGGAAUUACUGGGCGUAAAGGGCGCGUAGGCGGAAUGCUUUGUCGGGCGUGAAAUUCCAGGGCUCAACCUUGGGGCUGCGUUCGAGACGGGUAUUCUAGAGUGGGGAAGAGGGUCGUGGAAUUCCCAGUGUAGAGGUGAAAUUCGUAGAUAUUGGGAAGAACACCGGUGGCGAAGGCGGCGACCUGGUCCUUUUACUGACGCUGAGGCGCGAAAGCGUGGGGAGCAAACACG